GGCCUCAUAACUCAGCUGGUAGAGCGUGCGCUGUUCAAAAGAGUAGACUGCUUCCAUGUGUGGGUUCGAAUCCUACCGAGGCUA
rnacentral:tRNA from 1 species